CCUACGGGGGGCAGCAGUGGGGGAUAUUGCACAAUGGGGGAAACCCUGAUGCAGCGACGCCGCGUGGGUGAAGAAGGGCCUCGGCGCGUAAAGCCCUGGCAGCAGGGAAGAAAAUGACGGUACCUGAAGAAGAAGCCCCGGCUAACGACGGGCCAGCAGCCGCGGGAAUACGGAGGGGGCAAGCGUUCUCCGGAUUUACGGGGUGGAAAGGGGGCGCAGACGGCGCUGCAAGCCAGGAGUGAAAGCCCGGGGCCCAACCCCGGGACUGCUCUUGGAACUGCGUGGCUAGAGUGCAGGAGGGGCAGGCGGAAUUCCUGGUGUAGCGGUGAACUGCGUAGAUAUCAGGAGGCACCCCGGUGGCGAAGGCGGCCUGCUGGACUGCACCUGCCGUUGAGGCCCGACAGCGUGGGGAGCAAACAGGAUUAGAUACCCCGGUAGUC
rnacentral:rRNA from 1 species